GCCUGGGUGGCUCAGUCGGUUGAGCGUCUGACUUCGGCUCAGGUCAUGAUCUCACGGCCCGUGAGUUCAAGCCCCCACGUUGGGCU
rnacentral:tRNA from 1 species